rnacentral:tRNA from 1 species
GAGGGGAUAGCUCAGUGGCAGAGCACAUGCUUAGCACGCACAAGGUCUUGGGUUUGAUCCCCAGUACCACCA